AAUGGGGAAACCCAGUGUGUUUCGACACACUAUCAUUAACUGAAUCCAUAGGUUAAUGAGGCGAACCGGGGGAACUGAAACAUCUAAGUACCCCGAGGAAAAGAAAUCAACCGAGAUUCCCCCAGUAGCGGCGAGCGAACGGGGAGGAGCCCAGAGCCUGAAUCAGUGUGUGUGUUAGUGGAAGCGUCUGGAAAGGCGCGCGAUACAGGGUGACAGCCCCGUACACAAAAAUGCACAUAUUGUGAGCUCGAUGAGUAGGGCGGGACACGUGGUAUCCUGUCUGAAUAUGGGGGGACCAUCCUCCAAGGCUAAAUACUCCUGACUGACCGAUAGUGAACCAGUACCGUGAGGGAAAGGCGAAAAGAACCCCGGCGAGGGGAGUGAAAAAGAACCUGAAACCGUGUACGUACAAGCAGUGGGAGCCUCUUAAUGGGGUGACUGCGUACCUUUUGUAUAAUGGGUCAGCGACUUAUAUUCUGUAGCAAGGUUAACCGAAUAGGGGAGCCGAAGGGAAACCGAGUCUUAACUGGGCGUUAAGUUGCAGGGUAUAGACCCGAAACCCGGUGAUCUAGCCAUGGGCAGGUUGAAGGUUGGGUAACACUAACUGGAGGACCGAACCGACUAAUGUUGAAAAAUUAGCGGAUGACUUGUGGCUGGGGGUGAAAGGCCAAUCAAACCGGGAGAUAGCUGGUUCUCCCCGAAAGCUAUUUAGGUAGCGCCUCGUGAAUUCAUCUCCGGGGGUAGAGCACUGUUUCGGCAAGGGGGUCAUCCCGACUUACCAACCCGAUGCAAACUGCGAAUACCGGAGAAUGUUAUCACGGGAGACACACGGCGGGUGCUAACGUCCGUCGUGAAGAGGGAAACAACCCAGACCGCCAGCUAAGGUCCCAAAGUCAUGGUUAAGUGGGAAACGAUGUGGGAAGGCCCAGACAGCCAGGAUGUUGGCUUAGAAGCAGCCAUCAUUUAAAGAAAGCGUAAUAGCUCACUGGUCGAGUCGGCCUGCGCGGAAGAUGUAACGGGGCUAAACCAUGCACCGAAGCUGCGGCAGCGACGCUUAUGCGUUGUUGGGUAGGGGAGCGUUCUGUAAGCCUGUGAAGGUGUGCUGUGAGGCAUGCUGGAGGUAUCAGAAGUGCGAAUGCUGACAUAAGUAACGAUAAAGCGGGUGAAAAGCCCGCUCGCCGGAAGACCAAGGGUUCCUGUCCAACGUUAAUCGGGGCAGGGUGAGUCGACCCCUAAGGCGAGGCCGAAAGGCGUAGUCGAUGGGAAACAGGUUAAUAUUCCUGUACUUGGUGUUACUGCGAAGGGGGGACGGAGAAGGCUAUGUUGGCCGGGCGACGGUUGUCCCGGUUUAAGCGUGUAGGCUGGUUUUCCAGGCAAAUCCGGAAAACCAAGGCUGAGGCGUGAUGACGAGGCACUACGGUGCUGAAGCAACAAAUGCCCUGCUUCCAGGAAAAGCCUCUAAGCAUCAGGUAACAUCAAAUCGUACCCCAAACCGACACAGGUGGUCAGGUAGAGAAUACCAAGGCGCUUGAGAGAACUCGGGUGAAGGAACUAGGCAAAAUGGUGCCGUAACUUCGGGAGAAGGCACGCUGAUAUGUAGGUGAAGCGACUAGCUCGUGGAGCUGAAAUCAGUCGAAGAUACCAGCUGGCUGCAACUGUUUAUUAAAAACACAGCACUGUGCAAACACGAAAGUGGACGUAUACGGUGUGACGCCUGCCCGGUGCCGGAAGGUUAAUUGAUGGGGUUAGCGGUAACGCGAAGCUCUUGAUCGAAGCCCCGGUA
rnacentral:rRNA from 1 species